rnacentral:rRNA from 1 species
AGUGAACGCUGGCGGUAGGCCUAACACAUGCAAGUCGAACGGCAGCACAGUAAGAGCUUGCUCUUACGGGUGGCGAGUGGCGGACGGGUGAGGAAUACAUCGGAAUCUACUUUUUCGUGGGGGAUAACGUAGGGAAACUUACGCUAAUACCGCAUACGACCUACGGGUGAAAGCAGGGGAUCUUCGGACCUUGCGCGAUUGAAUGAGCCGAUGUCGGAUUAGCUAGUUGGCGGGGUAAAGGCCCACCAAGGCGACGAUCCGUAGCUGGUCUGAGAGGAUGAUCAGCCACACUGGAACUGAGACACGGUCCAGACUCCUACGGGAGGCAGCAGUGGGGAAUAUUGGACAAUGGGUGCAAGCCUGAUCCAGCCAUACCGCGUGGGUGAAGAGGGCCUUCGGGUUGUAAAGCCCUUUUGUUGGGAAAGAAAAGCAGCAGGUUAAUACCCCGCUGUUCUGACGGUACCCAAAGAAUAAGCACCGGCUAACUUCGUG